rnacentral:rRNA from 1 species
GAUGAACGCUGGCGGCGUGCCUAAUACAUGCAAGUCGAGCGAACAGACGAGGAGCUUGCUCCUCUGACGUUAGCGGCGGACGGGUGAGUAACACGUGGAUAACCUACCUAUAAGACUGGGAUAACUUCGGGAAACCGGAGCUAAUACCGGAUAAUAUAUUGAACCGCAUGGAUCAAUAGUGAAAGACGGUUUUGCUGUCACUUAUAGCUGGAUCCGCGCCGCAUUAGCUAGUUGGUAAGGUAACGGCUUACCAAGGCAACGAUGCGUAGCCGACCUGAGAGGGUGAUCGGCCACACUGGAACUGAGACACGGUCCAGACUCCUACGGGAGGCAGCAGUAGGGAAUCUUCCGCAAUGGGCGAAAGCCUGACGGAGCAACGCCGCGUGAGUGAUGAAGGUCUUCGGAUCGUAAAACUCUGUUAUUAGGGAAGAACAAAUGUGUAAGUAACUAUGCACGUCUUGACGGUACCUAAUCAGAAAGCCACGGCUAACUACGUG